rnacentral:tRNA from 1 species
GGGGUUGUGGCUUAGAGGUAAAGCACUCACCUGGCAUGCAAGAGGCACUAGGUUCAAUCCUCAGCACCA